AACGAACGCUGGCGGCAGGCCUAACACAUGCAAGUCGAGCGAACCCUUCGGGGUUAGCGGCGGACGGGUUAGUAACGCGUGGGAAUAUACCCUUUGGUACGGAAUAGCCUCGGGAAACUGAGAGUAAUACCGUAUGUGCCCUUCGGGGAAAGAUUUAUCGCCAAAGGAUUAGCCCGCGUUGGAUUAGAUAGUUGGUGGGGUAAUGGCCUACCAAGUCUACGAUCCAUAGCUGGUUUGAGAGGAUGAUCAGCAACACUGGGACUGAGACACGGCCCAGACUCCUACGGGAGGCAGCAGUGGGGAAUCUUAGACAAUGGGCGCAAGCCUGAUCUAGCCAUGCCGCGUGGACGAUGAAGGCCUUAGGGUUGUAAAGUCCUUUCAGAUGGGAAGAUAAUGACGGUACCAUCAGAAGAAGCCCCGGCUAACUCCGUGCCAGCAGCCGCGGUAAUGUAU
rnacentral:rRNA from 1 species